AACUGCUGGCGAGACUGCUCGGUCUUUUACGUCAGGACUUGGGAUCUACCGUGUGGUUCUAGAUGCAAAGGAAAGUUCCAAAACGUAUGGGAGAAGGUUUGCUGGAAAAUGACUUGGUUAAAACUUGACAAUCUUACCAGGAGCAUCCUGCAGGUCGAUGAAUGCUAAUGAAGCUAUGACCGUCACCGAUUGAUGAUGAACAGCUUCAUUUGAAAUGACAGGGGUCGCUGUCCGCCUAUUGAAAGAGGCCAGUUUGCCAUGAAGUUCCUAAGGUGUAAACAUGUCUGGCUAGUGCCACGAGAUUUACUUGUCUGUUGUAUGAAAAACUGGUGAUCAGGAAAAGCUCUUCAUUUUAUGGACACGGAAAGAAAACAAAACUCAAGACAGAUUAUUUAAUUUUGAAAUUGCAUUUGUAAAAAGAUUUCUGAGCCAACGUCAAAUCUAGAUUAAUGCAUCCAUAAGAUUCAAGCCAUUUCUGUUUAAUCUUGUCACUGCCCUAGAGUCAUAACCUGUUAGCCAGUAUAUUAUUGAUACUUUCUAGCUCUGAAACUGUUUUUAAUGGAAAAUUAUUUUUCAGUUGUCCAGCCUUGUAAUUAAAUAAUUCUGAGUGAAUGUUUA